GGGCCGCUAGCUCAACGGUAGAGCAAGUGACUCUUAAUCACUAGGUUACAGGUUCGAAACCUGUGCGGCUCACCA
rnacentral:tRNA from 1 species